rnacentral:rRNA from 1 species
ACGGGGCCCGCACAAGCGGUGGAGCAUGUGGUUUAAUUCGAUGCAACGCGAAGAACCUUACCUGGUCUUGACAUCCCAGAAAUCCCUUGGAAACUUGGGAGUGCUUCCAUUAGGAAGAAUCUGGAGACAGGUGCUGCAUGGCUGUCGUCAGCUCGUGUCGUGAGAUGUUGGGUUAAGUCCCGCAACGAGCGCAACCCUUGCCUUUAGUUGCCAGCAGUUCGGCUGGGCACUCUAAAGGGACUGCCGGUGUUAAACCGGAGGAAGGUGGGAUGACGUCAAGUCCUCAUGGCCUUUAUGACCAGGGCUACACACGUACUACAAUGGCCGAUACAAAGGGCAGCGACAUUGCGAAAUGAAGCCAAUCCCAUAAAUUCGGUCUCAGUCCGGAUUGGAGUCUGCAACUCGACUCCAUGAAGUUGGAAUCGCUAGUAAUCGUGGAUCAGCAUGCCACGGUGAAUACGUUCCCGGGCCUU